AGAGUGAUAGCUGAUUUGUAACAUUUUAAUCAAAAAGUCUGCAAAAUGAACCAGGCACCAAAUCUUCACUAGGAUCCCGAGGAGCCACAGCAUGUAAAAAUCCCUGUCUCUUAUGGAGAUCAGAGGCUGUGGAGGUUAAGGCUGCAUCAUCCCUGGUACCCCAAAAGAUAUCUAUCACUCUGACACCCUGAGGUUCAGGAGAGCUUGGUCAGCUCUUCACUCAACAUUUGUAAGCGCUUAGCACUAGCAUUCCUAGUACCAAUUCAAGUAAAUAUACU
rnacentral:lncRNA from 1 species